GAUGAACGCUGGCGGCGUGCCUAAUACAUGCAAGUCGAGCGAACAGAUGAGAAGCUUGCUUCUCUGAUGUUAGCGGCGGACGGGUGAGUAACACGUGGGUACCCUACCUAUAAGACUGGGAUAACUCCGGGAAACCGGGGCUAAUACCGGAUAAUAUUUUGAACCGCAUGGUUCGAUAGUGAAAGACGGUUUCGGCUGUCACUUAUAGAUGGACCCGCGCCGUAUUAGCUAGUUGGUAAGGUAACGGCUUACCAAGGCGACGAUACGUAGCCGACCUGAGAGGGUGAGCGGCCACACUGGAACUGAGACACGGUCCAGACUCCGACGGGAGGCAGCAGUAGAGAAUCUUCCGCAAUGGGCGAAAGCCUGACGGAGCAACGCCGCGUGAGUGAUGAAGGUCUUCGGAUCGUAAAACUCUGUUGUUAGGGAAGAACAAAUUUGUUAGUAACUGAACAAGUCUUGACGGUACCUAACCAGAAAGCCACGGCUAACUACGUGCCAGCAGCAGCCGCGG
rnacentral:rRNA from 1 species